rnacentral:rRNA from 1 species
UACGUAGGGGGCAAGCGUUGUCCGGAUUUAUUGGGCGUAAAGAGCGUGUAGGCGGUUAUGCAGGUCCGCUGUGAAAACUGGAGGCUUAACCUCCAGACGUCGGUGGAAACCGUAUGACUAGAGUCCGGAAGAGGAGAGUGGAAUUCCUGGUGUAGCGGUGAAAUGCGCAGAUAUCAGGAGGAACACCGGUGGCGAAGGCGGCAUCCUGGACCGACAUUGACGCUGAGGAGCGAAAGCCAGGGGAGCAAACGGG